ACUAUUUUUACAAUGGUCCAUCUGCUGGUACGGUAAUAUGCAUGCAAGCCACAUGCGCCAUCGGCACCGAAAUUCUCCGGCGAUUUCUUGCAAGUAAUUCGCUGGCGAUUCCCUCGUUGAUUGCGAUUAAAAAAUAAUAGACUUUGGUGUGGCCAUCAGCGUGAGAAUCAAGAGGGACGGGGGAGGGACGUGUUCACCAAUCUGUCCCGGUGUGACGCGAAAUUCCUGACUUGCGCAGACGAUGCGACCAUGCGCAGACGAUGCGCAUGAAUGACUUUGGCUUAUAAAUUUCGCAUUUCAACAGACAACACGUGUAUUUUUAAAAAG